rnacentral:rRNA from 1 species
UACGUAGGGUGCGAGCGUUAAUCGGCAUUACUGGGCGUAAAGCGUGCGCAGGCGGUGUUGUAAGACAGGCGUGAAAUCCCCGGGCUUAACCUGGGAACUGCAUUUGUGACUGCAUCGCUGGAGUGCGGCAGAGGGGGAUGGAAUUCCGCGUGUAGCAGUGAAAUGCGUAGAUAUGCGGAGGAACACCGAUGGCGAAGGCAAUCCCCUGGGCCUGCACUGACGCUCAUGCACGAAAGCGUGGGGAGCAAACAGG